rnacentral:lncRNA from 1 species
GAUUUUGUUGCUUUUCGUAUUAUAUUGAUAUUAAUAUAUAUAAACCUGCUAAGUUCCAUCAGCUGGUAUAGUAAUCAAACAUUUAUUAAACCAUUAAGAAAACUAGAUACAAACAGGGCAACCAUAUCCAUCCAAUUCCUCGUAUUAAAGAAAGGACUCGGCGAUGACUUGAAAGACUUAUUUCUAGACUGGAUAUUUAAAAC